rnacentral:rRNA from 1 species
UACGUAGGUGGCAAGCGUUAAUCGGAACUACUUGGCGUAAAGCGCACGCAGGCGGUCUGUCAAGUCGGAUGUGAAAUCCCCGGGCUCAACCUGGGAACUGCAUUCGAAACUGGCAGGCUAGAGUCUUGUAGAGGGGGGUAGAAUUCCAGGUGUAGCGGUGAAAUGCGUAGAGAUCUGGAGGAAUACCGGUGGCGAAGGCGGCCCCCUGGACAAAGACUGACGCUCAGGUGCUAAAGCGUGGGGAGCAAACAGGAUUAGAUACCCUGGUAGUCCACGCCGUAAACGAUGUCGAUUUGGAGGUUGUGCCCUUGAGGCGUGGCUUCCGGAGCUAACGCGUUAAAUCGACCGCCUGGGGAGUACGGCCGCAAGGUUAAA